GUGGGGAAUCUUAGACAAUGGGGGAAACCCUGAUCUAGCCAUGCCGCGUGAGCGAUGAAGGCCUUAGGGUUGUAAAGCUCUUUCAGCUGGGAUGAUAAUGACGGUACCAGCAGAAGAAGCCCCGGCUAACUCCGUGCCAGCAGCCGCGGUAAUACGGAGGGGGCUAGCGUUGUUCGGAAUUACUGGGCGUAAAGCGCACGUAGGCGGAUCAGAAAGUCAGAGGUGAAAUCCCAGGGCUCAACCUUGGAACUGCCUUUGAAACUCCUGGUCUUGAGGUCGAGAGAGGUGAGUGGAAUUCCGAGUGUAGAGGUGAAAUUCGUAGAUAUUCGGAGGAACACCAGUGGCGAAGGCGGCUCACUGGCUCGAUACUGACGCUGAGGUGCGAAAGCGUGGGGAGCAAACAGGAUUAGAUACCCGGGUAGUCC
rnacentral:rRNA from 1 species